rnacentral:rRNA from 1 species
GACGAACGCUGGCGGCGUGCCUAAUACAUGCAAGUCGAGCGAGCCGAACUAAUUGAUUACCUUCGGGUAUGAAGUUAGGGAAGCGAGCGGCGGAUGGGUGAGUAACACGUGGGUAACCUACCCUAUAGUCUGGGAUACCACUUGGAAACAGGUGCUAAUACCGGAUAAAAGGAGAGAUCACAUGAUUUCUUUUUGAAAGGCGGCGUAAGCUGUCGCUAAAGGAUGGACCCGCGGUGCAUUAGCUAGUUGGUAAGGUAACGGCUUACCAAGGCAACGAUGCAUAGCCGAGUUGAGAGACUGAUCGGCCACAUUGGGACUGAGACACGGCCCAAACUCCUACGGGAGGCAGCAGUAGGGAGUCUUCCACAAUGGACGCAAGUCUGAUGGAGCAACGCCGCGUGAGUGAAGAAGGUUUUCGGAUCGUAAAGCUCUGUUGUUGGUGAAGAAAGAUAGUGAGAGUAACUGCUCAUUAUUUGCCGGUAAUCAACCAGAAAGUCACGGCUAACUACGUGCCAGCAGCCGCGGUAAUACGUAGGUGGCAAGCGUUGUCCGGAUUUAUUGGGCGUAAAGCGAGCGCAGGCGGAAAGAUAAGUCAGAUGUGAAAGCCCUC